rnacentral:rRNA from 1 species
AUUGAACGCUGGCGGCAGGCCUAACACAUGCAAGUCGAGCGGUAGCACAGAGAGCUUGCUCUCGGGUGACGAGCGGCGGACGGGUGAGUAAUGUCUGGGAAACUGCCUGAUGGAGGGGGAUAACUACUGGAAACGGUAGCUAAUACCGCAUAACGUCGCAAGACCAAAGUGGGGGACCUUCGGGCCUCAUGCCAUCAGAUGUGCCCAGAUGGGAUUAGCUAGUAGGUGGGGUAAUGGCUCACCUAGGCGACGAUCCCUAGCUGGUCUGAGAGGAUGACCAGCCACACUGGAACUGAGACACGGUCCAGACUCCUACGGGAGGCAGCAGUGGGGAAUAUUGCACAAUGGGCGCAAGCCUGAUGCAGCCAUGCCGCGUGUAUGAAGAAGGCCUUCGGGUUGUAAAGUACUUUCAGCGGGGAGGAAGGUGAGUGGUUUAAUACGCCACUCAAUUGACGUUACCCGCAGAAGAAGCACCGGCUAACUCCGUGCCAGCCGCCGUAAUAC